rnacentral:rRNA from 1 species
CGAUUAGGAAGCACCGGCUAACUCCGUGCCAGCAGCCGCGGUAAUACGGGGGGUGCAAGCGUUGUUCGGAAUUAUUGGGCGUAAAGCGCGUGUAGGCGGUUUGUUUAGUCUGAUGUGAAAGCCCUGGGCUCAACCUGGGAAGUGCAUUGGAAACUGGCAGACUUGAAUACGGGAGAGGGUAGUGGAAUUCCUAGUGUAGGAGUGAAAUCCGUAGAUAUUAGGAGGAACACCGGUGGCGAAGGCGGCUGCCUGGACCGAUAUUGACGCUGAGACGCGAAAGCGUGGGUAGCAAACAGGAUUAGAUACCCUGGUAGUCCACGCCGUAAACGAUGAGUACUAGGUGUCGCGGGU